rnacentral:rRNA from 1 species
AUACGUAGGGGGCGAGCGUUGUCCGGAAUUACUGGGCGUAAAGGGUGUGUAGGCGGCCAUGUAAGUCAGAUGUGAAAUACCACGGCUUAACCGUGGGGGUGCAUAUGAAACUGCGUGGCUUGAGUGCAGGAGAGGAAAGUGGAAUUCCUAGUGUAGCGGUGAAAUGCGUAGAGAUUAGGAGGAACACCAGUGGCGAAGGCGACUUUCUGGACUGCAACUGACGCUGAGGCACGAAAGCGUGGGUAGCGAACAGGAUUAGAUACCCUGGUAGUCCACGCCGUAAACGAUGGAUACUAGGUGUAGGAGGUAUCGACCCCUUCUGUGCCGGAGUUAACGCAAUAAGUAUCCCGCCUGGGGAGUACGGCCGCAAGGCUGAA